rnacentral:lncRNA from 1 species
GCAUUUCAUCCUUGCUAGGAGAUAUCAAUGAAUUAAUUUGACGUAGUGUAUCAUUCUUUUUUUUUUUUUUUUAAAAAAAAAGUUAAAUGAACUUGAUAAGUAUAAAAAUGUAUUUAGAAAUAGUACACAUUUUAUGAACUUACAAAAAAGCUAGUGGCUAAGUUAAACCAGUUGCCUCAAUAUAAUUAUAAAAACAAUUAAGAGUAAAAUCACAGUCAGUUUUCCUGGUAAGGGUGGGGGGGGGGGGUGGAUCAACCUCAAAUAAUACAAUUAUUUGCAAUUUGAGGGGUCAAGAUAAUGAUGGCGUAAUUACAAAGUUCAGAGCAAUAUUGAGGACAAAGUUACGAAUGAGCUAAUUUACUUAUCAUAACUCCUCCUGUUUCUCAGAAUUUUACCCGAUGAUCCUCUGCAAGACAAGUGAUUUUUAAGCCCUUCUUUCAUGGGUGUCUUGGAAAAUUGGAAAUUUAGACUUUUCCGUGCUUUUUGACGCCAAUUUCCUGCUGUUCUGGGCUGUGAAAAUGACACCUCUUGAGCAUGAGAGCCGGAAGGAUUGCUUGGACUUUCUUAGGUCUCCCUCUCGUUUUCUUGACAACUGAGGUAGAAUCAUUCUGGGAAUUCAAUACAUCCAUGUUUAAUUCUGCUGCUUUUACUUUAAUUUUUGGCUCAAUUUUUCUAGCUCUCUUGUUGCCUGAUUUCAAUUCAUCACUUUCGGUGAUGCUAGACUGAUCAGAUAAACUCCUAUUUUUCUCUCCUUCAGAUUGAUUAAAACUAGUUUCUGGAUUGCUGAGUUCUCCUUCCUCAGAAUUAGCAAGUCGACGAGAGCCUUCUUUCAGAACAGAGUUGCUCGCACUAAAAGUCGAAUCAUGAAUAGCAUUAGCGGAUCUCUUGGCAUCUUCUGCUUUUGUUUCAGAUGAUUCGACAGAUGAGCAAGCAUGCUUGGCCAAAUCUUCUGGUUUUUCGGAAGACUUCUGCGUAUUAUUUUUUUGACUUGCUGCUUCAUCGACACAUUUUGAUGGUUGAGUUUGAUUCAGAAGUUUAGAUGCUUUGUUAUUCGUCUUUAUCCUGCAACAGAAAAAAAACAAGAAAAGCUUAGUCGAGAAUAGUUGCAUAUUGGUGCUGAAGAAACAAUACUGCCUAAAGAAAUUUUUGGCAA